AUCCUUACCUGGCAGGGGAGAUACCAUGAUCAUGAAGGUGGUUUUCCCAGGGUGAGGUUUAUCCAUUGCACUCUAGACGUGCUGACCCUGUGAUUUCCCCAAAUGUGGGAAACUCAAUUGCAUAAUUUGUGGCAGUGGGAACUAUGUUCUCACUAUUCCCUG
ensembl:snRNA U1 U1 spliceosomal RNA